rnacentral:rRNA from 1 species
UACAGAGGGUGCGAGCGUUGUUCGGAAUUACUGGGCGUAAAGUGUGCGCAGGCGGCCGCGCAAGUCGAGUGUGAAAGCCCCGGGCUUAACUUGGGAAUUGCGCUCGAAACUACUUUGCUGGAGUGUGGCAGAGGAAGGUGGAAUUCCACGUGUAGCGGUGAAAUGCGUAGAGAUGUGGAGGAACACCAAUGGCGAAGGCAGCCUUCUGGGCCAACACUGACGCUCAUGCACGAAAGCGUGGGGAGCAAACAGG